CCACGGUGAACAUUCAACGCUGUCGGUGAGUUUGAGCUCAAAACAAACCAUCGACCGUUGACUGUACCCUGAGG